GACGAACGCUGGCGGCGUGCCUAAUACAUGCAAGUGGGACGCAAGGGAACACACUGUGCUUGCACACCGUGUUUUCUUGAGUCGCGAACGGGUGAGUAACGCGUAGGUAACCUGCCUAUUAGCGGGGGAUAACUAUUGGAAACGAUAGCUAAUACCGCAUAAUAUUAAUUAUUGCAUGAUAAUUGAUUGAAAGAUGCAAGCGCAUCACUAGUAGAUGGACCUGCGUUGUAUUAGCUAGUUGGUAAGGUAAGAGCUUACCAAGGCGACGACACAUAGCCGACCUGAGAGGGUGAUCGGCCACACUGGGACUGAGACACGGCCCAGACUCCUACGGGAGGCAGCAGUAGGGAAUCUUCGGCAAUGGACGAAAGUCUGACCGAGCAACGCCGCGUGAGUGAAGAAGGUUUUCGGAUCGUAAAGCUCUGUUGUAAGUCAAGAACGUGUGUGAGAGUG
rnacentral:rRNA from 1 species